CGGGACGGGUGAGUAAUGCUUGGGAAUCUAGCUUAUGGAGGGGGGAAACUACGGGAAACUGUAGCUAAUACCGCGUAAUAUCGAAAGAUUAAAGUGUGGGACCUUCGGGCCACAUGCCAUAGGAUGAGCCCAAGUGGGAUUAGGUAGUUGGUGAGGUAAAGGCUCACCAAGCCGACGAUCUCUAGCUGGUCUGAGAGGAUGACCAGCCACACUGGGACUGAGACACGGCCCAG
rnacentral:rRNA from 1 species